rnacentral:rRNA from 1 species
UACGGAAGGCAGCAGUGGGGAAUAUUGCACAAUGGGCGCAAGCCUGAUGCAGCCAUGCCGCGUGUAUGAAGAAGGCCUUCGGGUUGUAAAGUACUUUCAGUCGUGAGGAAGGUGUUAAGGUUAAUAACCUUAGCAAUUGACGUUAGCGACAGAAGAAGCACCGGCUAACUCCGUGCCAGCAGCCGCGGUAAUACGGAGGGUGCGAGCGUUAAUCGGAAUUACUGGGCGUAAAGGGCACGCAGGCGGUUAAUUAAGUUGGAUGUGAAAUCCCCGGGCUUAACCUGGGAAUGGCAUUCAAGACUGGUUAGCUAGAGUCUUGUAGAGGGGGUAGAAUUCCAUGUGUAGCGGUGAAAUGCGUAGAGAUGUGGAGGAAUACCGGUGGCGAAGGCGGCCCCUGGGACAAAGACUGACGCUCAUGUGCGAAAGCGUGGGGAGCAAACAGGGGUUAGAUACC